UGGGGCAAUAGCUCAGUUGGUUAGAGCAACGGACUCAUAACCCGUCGGUCGCAGGUUCAAGUCCUGCUUGCCCCAU
rnacentral:tRNA from 1 species